rnacentral:rRNA from 1 species
UGGGGAAUAUUGCACAAUGGGCGAAAGCCUGAUGCAGCAACGCCGCGUGAGUGAUGAAGGCCUUCGGGUUGUAAAGCUCUGUCUUUUGGGACGAUAAUGACGGUACCAAAGGAGGAAGCCACGGCUAACUACGUGCCAGCAGCCGCGGUAAUACGUAGGUGGCAAGCGUUGUCCGGAUUUACUGGGCGUAAAGGAUGCGUAGGCGGAUUUUUAAGUGAGAUGUGAAAACCCUAAGCUUAACUUGGGGACUGCAUUUCAUACUGGAAAUCUAGAGUGCGGGAGAGGAGAAUGGAAUUCCUAGUGUAGCGGUGAAAAUGCGUAGAGAUUAGGAAGAACACCAGUGGCGAAGGCGAUUCUCUGGACCGUAACUGACGCUGAGGCAUGAAAGCGUGGGUAGCAAACAGGAUUAGAUACCCUGGUAGUCCACGCCGUAAACGAUGAGUACUAGGUGUAGGAGGUAUCGACCCCUUCUGUGCCGCAGUUAACACAAUAAGUACUCCGCCUGGGAAGUACGAUCGCAAGAUUAAAAACUUAAAUGAAUUGACGGGGGUCAUAGCUGUUUCCU